CUAAAAAAUCGUGUAAUGGAGCUUGAUAUCUAUAGUGUUUUCUUUAUUGGAACUAUUACUAGCAUCUCCAUUGGCCAUGUACUCUGCUUUGAUACCACU